GUGCCCACUUCGGCAGCACACGUACUAAAAUCCGAAGGACACAGAGCAGAUUAGCAUGGCCCCUGUGCAAGGAUGACACGCAAAUUCGUGAAGUGUUCCAUUUUUUU